rnacentral:tRNA from 1 species
AGCGGGGUAGGCCAGCCUGGUAGGCCGCGGGGCUCAUAACGGGCGUGCCCGUGCAGCCCCGAGGUCCCCGGUUCAAAUCCGGGCCCCGCUACCU